AAGUAGAAAGCGAUUAAUUGCAGUCAAUUUCGACUUGACCUUAAGGUAUUUAUUAUAUCUCUACUUA
rnacentral:tRNA from 1 species